GCGGAGAGAGGUAGCUUGCUACUGAUCUUAGCGGCGGACGGGUGAGUAAUGCUUAGGAAUCUGCCUAUUAGUGGGGGACAACAUUUCGAAAGGAAUGCUAAUACCGCAUACGUCCUACGGGAGAAAGCAGGGGAUCUUCGGACCUUGCGCUAAUAGAUGAGCCUAAGUCGGAUUAGCUAGUUGGUGGGGUAAAGGCCUACCAAGGCGACGAUCUGUAGCGGGUCUGAGAGGAUGAUCCGCCACACUGGGACUGAGACACGGCCCAGACUCCUACGGGAGGCAGCAGUGGGGAAUAUUGGACAAUGGGCGCAAGCCUGAUCCAGCCAUGCCGCGUGUGUGAAGAAGGCCUUAUGGUUGUAAAGCACUUUAAGCGAGGAGGAGGCUACUUUAGAUAAUACCUAGAGAUAGUGGACGUUACUCGCAGAAUAAGCACCGGCUAACUCUGUGCCAGCAGCCGCGGUAAUACAGAGGGUGCAAGCGUUAAUCGGAUUUACUGGGCGUAAAGCGCGCGUAGGCGGCUAAUUAAGUCAAAUGUGAAAUCCCCGAGCUUAACUUGGGAAUUGCAUUCGAUACUGGUUAGCUAGAGUGUGGGAGAGGAUGGUAGAAUUCCAGGUGUAGCGGUGAAAUGCGUAGAGAUCUGGAGGAAUACCGAUGGCGAAGGCAGCCAUCUGGCCUAACACUGACGCUGAGGUGCGAAAGCAUGGGGAGCAAACAGGAUUAGAUACCCUGGUAGUCCAUGCCGUAAACGAUGUCUACUAGCCGUUGG
rnacentral:rRNA from 1 species